rnacentral:rRNA from 1 species
CCUACGGGAGGCAGCAGUGAGGAAUAUUGGUCAAUGGCCGGAAGGCUGAACCAGCCAUGCCGCGUGAAGGUCAGUGCCCUAUGGGCGUUAAACUUCUUUUGUGCGGGAGCAAUAAUGGUCACGUGUGGCCAGACGAGAGUACCGUACGAAUAAGCAUCGGCGAAAUCCGUUCCAGCAGCCGCGGUUAAAAGGGGGAUGCAAGCGUUAUCAGGGUUUACUGGGUGUAAAGGGGGAGUAGACGGGAGUGCAAGUCUGGAGGGAAAGGCGGGGGCUCAAACCCCGGACUGCUCUGGAAACUGUACGGCUGGAGUGCAGGAGAGGUAAGUGGAAUUCCUAGUGUAGCGGUGAAAUGCGUAGAUAUUAGGAGGAACACCAGUGGCGAAGGCGGCUUACUGGACUGUAACUGACGUUGAGGCUCGAAAGCGUGGGGAGCAAACAGGAUUAGAUACCCGAGUAGUC